CAGUAGCCACGGGAAUACAGAGGGUGCAAGCGUUAAUCGGAAUUACUGGGCGUAAAGCGCGCGUAGGUGGUUUGUUAAGUUGGAUGUGAAAUCCCCGGGCUCAACCUGGGAACUGCAUCCAAAACUGGCAAGCUAGAGUAUGGUAGAGGGUGGUGGAAUUUCCUGUGUAGCGGUGAAAUGCGUAGAUAUAGGAAGGAACACCAGUGGCGAAGGCGACCACCUGGACUGAUACUGACACUGAGGUGCGAAAGCGUGGGGAGCAAACAGGAUUAGAUACCCCUGUAGUCCCUGUCUCUUAUAC
rnacentral:rRNA from 1 species